AUUUCAGGCACCUGGGAAGAGAAUUAUGUGGAUCAGUUGCAAAGAUUGGAUUCAUUAAGGGAAUGCAUUGCCGAUAAUGGAGAUGGUGAUUCCAUUUUGCAGUAUAGGAGAUUGCAAACAUCAGUAUCAAACAUUGAGAAAACAAAUGGUGUGAC